CGGAGGUGUGGCGAAUCGCCCCCAAAAGUUGCUCGAGACUGAGCUUGAACCCUGCGUUGCUUGGGGUAUAUUUGGGGGAUGGGGUUUGGCGUCUGGGGGCCCGCAGGUGGAAGGUAGCCCCAAAGAAGAGUAAAGAAUGUGCCCACAGGCAUGUCCAAUUUUCCGCAAAAAGAGCUCGUCGUCUGGCGGUGUGUAAGUGAGAUUUGAGUUAUUCGCCACGGGUGGUUUUGGUGGCGGGUACUGCUUAGUGACUAAAGGGGCGGGAGUGAAGGACUUAGGCGCAGCCUGUGAGCGCAUCGUGGCUAAGCUGUUGUGCCUUACCUCUUGUGUGUGCUGCACGCCCACGUGAGCGGCACCACCCUAACCUGUUGGCUGGGGUAAGCGUUCGACGCCGCUUCAUGGAACUGUGUUGUGCAGCAGGCCGCCUCCUCAUUCCCUUCAUCCUCUGCUGCGAUAUCACCCUUGAAAGCUGCAGCAACAGCCGCCGCCCCAAGGCCGCCUUCUUGUCAACCGCCUUCUAGCGCUGCAAAAAUACAACCUUCAGGGCUGGAUUAGCGGGCUCAUAGCUCGCGGGAGCAAGUUCGGGAUGAUAAGCAAACCACUUGCUCUGCUGGUGACCCAUGGCUCCGCAGAAUUCGCAAGAUGGCCUAUUCCCCCGCCCCUCGCUUGCACCCUGUCCCUGCUUGGGCUUCGAUGGCCCAGCCCCCUUCUGCUUUUGCCCACCCAUUCCCCCGGGACUCCCCUGAGGUCG
rnacentral:lncRNA from 1 species